CGGGUCCUCUGUGCCUGGGAUCAGAAGCAUCACGUCAUGUGACUCGAGAUGCCACCAGCUGUAAAAGACUGAGUUCACCACCCAACAUGUGUCAGCCUGUGCGUUGCUCAGUCCAUAAAGGAGCUCAGCAGCCGCUGUCAUUGACAGGAGAGGAUCAAUGAUGAGAGUCAAGACUUGCCAGCCUAGGAGUUUACCAGUAUGUGCUGUCCUAACGUACAGCAGCGCUGUCCAUCACCACCAGCUGCCUAUAGACCUGAAAACCCCACUGGAGGCUUUGCGUGUGCUUCCUGCCAGUCAGAGCGAGCACCCACAAUGAUGAGGCAUUACUUCCUCCCCCGCCUUCCCCAGUCCAGAAGAGCUCUUCUCUUUGGUCAGAGAAACUCCUGCACUAAACAGCAUCAGAAAUUGAACCUUGUGCCUGAACUGCAGCUAAAGCAUCAACACUGCUCCCUCAGUAUGUAAAAAAUUAGAGUUAAUUUACCUCUUAAUGCCUUUGCCUCUAUCGAGCACAGCAAGAGACGGAAACUUUUAAUUGAAUAAGCAGCGGCAAAGCCUGUUUGCAGAUGAGACAAGUGAUAUUACAAAGCCUUUACGCAUUGCGUAUUUAUACCACCAACUUCCUGCAACAGCAAGAGGUGUCUCUGGUGAGGAAGACAGAGUAGCAUAGUACAAAAGUCUCACAAAAAAUUGUUACUCUAGCAUAUUUUAGACUAACUCAUUAAUUUCAUUUGUUACCGAAAUUCAUGUCAAGAAAAAAAAAAACUUUUUGUAGCUUGAAAUGUUUGAUUCUUAGGCACUUUGUGUCCUUCUCCUUCAGUAAGUAGGUCAAGCUCAAAGUCUCAAGCUGCACAGGACUUGACAAUACAAAGAAUCCUUCUAACUUUAAACAGCCGAUAGAGCUGAACCUGUCCUUUACCUUCCCAUGACACUGAAGUACAUGCAGCUCUAUUUAGUGUUGCUCUUAGCAAGAUCCUAAAAAUAUCCAAGCUUCUUCUGCAGUGGGUGCAUCAUGAAGAU